CGGCCACCAAUAAAAAAGAAAAGAAAAAGCUCUGUAGUGCUAGGAGCUAGGUAACUCUGCAGGGCUGCAGGGGGCUGGCGCCUCCAGAGGGCAAGUGUUCUGCACGCUCCCCCACUGACUCCCUGUGCAUACGUGCACGUGCACACACACAUACACACCACUGUGUAUACACCAGACGCACCACCACCUCAGCCACACUAUGCACAUACCUCAAGCACACACACACCCCCUCCUCAGGCAUCUGGAGCAUGUAGCCGGCCUGGCUUCCUUUCCCGGUUCCACCAGGCUCAAGUUGUGUGACUUGGGGCAAGCUCCUGACCUCUGUAUUCCUCGGUUUAUUCACCGGACAAUGGAGAUCAUGCCAGUACCUGUCUCCCAGGGCUGUUGUGAGGGUUCCUUGGGAUAAUACAGCCAAAGAGCUGAGGACAGUGCCUGAUGCAUGGCGAUCAUUCAGUAAACACUAACUAUUAUUAUUAUUACUACUACUGCUACCUAAAAUGAAAGAUAAUCUUGAAGGAGAGAAGAGGAGACAAAGACCGGAAGUGGAGACAAGUUUUGGUGAUGAUCCAGGAACCAAGAGAAUGAAAGGGUAUAGAGAAAACCCGGGAUACUGGGGCCAUCUGUGUGCUCAUGUGGAAUGGCCUCAAGCUACAGGCCCUGAUCUUAAAUGAAGACAAUUUUGCUGCAAAAGUGUGGGAACUCUAUCCAUCCUCCACCACCUUGCUGUAAAUGUCUAUUUAGGAACUUGGAUUUAUUUUUUAAAAAAUCUUUCCAUAAAGAUAACUAUUGGCCCACAUAACUUAACUUGUGAAUUUUAUCAAAUAUUUAAUAAAGAAAUAAUACUAACCUUACACACACUCAGAAAA